rnacentral:rRNA from 1 species
UACAGAGGUCCCAAGCGUUGUUCGGAUUCACUGGGCGUAAAGGGUGCGUAGGUGGCCAGGUAAGUUUGGUGUGAAAGCUCGGAGCUCAACUCCGAAAAGGCAUUGAAUACUAUCUGGCUGGAGGGUCGGAGGGGAGACUGGAAUUCUCGGUGUAGCAGUGAAAUGCGUAGAUAUCGAGAGGAACACCAGUGGCGAAGGCGAGUCUCUGGACGACACCUGACACUGAGGCACGAAAGCCAGGGGAGCAAACAGG